rnacentral:tRNA from 1 species
AGGGCUAUAGCUCAGKUCGGUAGAGCAACUCGUUUACAC